rnacentral:rRNA from 1 species
UACGUAGGCAGCGAGCGUUGUUCGGAGUUACUGGGCGUAAAGGGUGUGUAGGCGGUUGUUUAAGUUUGGUGUGAAAUCUCCCGGCUCAACUGGGAGGGUGCGCCGAAUACUGAGCGACUAGAGUGCGGGAGAGGAAAGUGGAAUUCCUGGUGUAGCGGUGGAAUGCGCAGAUAUCAGGAAGAACACCCGUGGCGAAGGCGGCUCUCUGGAACGCAACUGACGCUGAGACGCGAAAGCGUGGGGAGCAAACAGG